AGAGUUUGAUCAUGGCUCAGAUUGAACGCUGGCGGCAGGCCUAACACAUGCAGGUCGAACGGUAACAUUUCUGGCUUGCUAGAAGAUGACGAGUGGCGGACGGGUGAGUAAUGCUUGGGAACUUGCCUUUGCGAGGGGGAUAACAGUUGGAAACGACUGCUAAUACCGCAUAACGUCUACAGACCAAACGGGGCUUAGGCUCCGGCGCAAAGAGAGGCCCAAGUGAGAUUAGCUAGUUGGUAAGGUAAUGGCUUACCAAGGCAACGAUCUCUAGCUGUUCUGAGAGGAAGAUCAGCCACACUGGAACUGAGACACGGUCCAGACUCCUACGGGAGGCAGCAGUGGGGAAUAUUGCACAAUGGGGGAAACCCUGAUGCAGCCAUGCCGCGUGUGUGAAGAAGGCCUUCGGGUUGUAAAGCACUUUCAGUUGUGAGGAAAAGUUAGUAGUUAAUACCUGCUAGCCGUGACGUUAACAACAGAAGAAGCACCGGCUAACUCCGUGCCAGCAGCCGCGGUAAUACGGAGGGUGUGAGCGUUAAUCGGAAUUACUGGGCGUAAAGCGCACGCAGGCGGUUUGUUAAGCUAGAUGUGAAAGCCCCGGGCUCAACCUGGGAUAGUCAUUUAGAACUGGCAGACUAGAGUCUUGGAGAGGGGAGUGGAAUUCCAGGUGUAGCGGUGAAAUGCGUAGAUAUCUGGAGGAACAUCAGUGGCGAAGGCGACUCCCUGGCCAAAGACUGACGCUCAUGUGCGAAAGUGUGGGUAGCGAACAGGAUUAGAUACCCUGGUAGUCCACACC
rnacentral:rRNA from 1 species